CGCCCAUCUGGCCUAUAAAUUGGCCCACACGGCACCACCCACCCACCACUGCUCGCACUCACUCACAGUCGCCGCCGCUGCCCAGUGCCCACUGCUCGCCGCUAGAGGAAUCUGAGAGAGAGAGGGGAAAGGGCGAAGGAGGCGCAGGCAGGCAUGGGCUCCCCUUCCUCCCUCCCCGCCGCGGCGGCGCUCGUGCUCCUGGCCCUGCUCGCCGGAGCCCAGUGCCGCGAGGCCCAGUUCGACGCCGCGGACGCCGGCGCGGAGAACUUCAACACCAGCGAGGCCGCCGUGUACUGGGGCCCCUGGCAGAAGGCCCGGGCCACCUGGUACGGCCAGCCCAACGGCGCCGGCCCGGACGACAACGGUGGUGCGUGCGGCUUCAAGCACACCAACCAGUACCCCUUCAUGUCCAUGGGCUCCUGCGGAAACCAGCCAUUGUUCAAGGACGGCAAGGGAUGCGGCUCCUGCUACAAGAUUCGGUGCAGGAAGGACCCGUCCUGCUCCGGGCGGACGGAGACGGUGAUCAUCACCGACAUGAACUACUACCCGGUGUCCAAGUACCACUUCGACCUCAGCGGCACGGCGUUCGGCAGGCUGGCCAAGCCCGGCCUCAACGACAAGCUCCGCCACUCGGGCAUCAUCGACAUCGAGUUCACCAGGGUGCCGUGCGAGUUCCCUGGCCUCAAGAUCGGGUUCCACGUGGAGGAGUACUCGAGCCCCGUCUACUUCGCGGUGCUGGUGGAGUACGAGGACGGCGACGGCGACGUGGUGCAGGUGGACCUGAUGGAGUCCAAGACGGCGCGCGGGCCGCCGACGGGGCGGUGGGCGCCGAUGCGCGAGUCCUGGGGCUCCAUCUGGCGCAUGGACACCAACCACCGCAUGCAGCCGCCCUUCUCCAUCCGCAUCCGCAACGAGUCCGGCAAGACGCUCGUCGCCAGGAACGUCAUCCCGGCCAACUGGAGGCCCAACACCUUCUACCGCUCCUUCGUCCAGUACAGCUAGCUAGCUGGUUUGCGCCCUCGGGCCGCUCGGUCACCACCACCCACCACUACUACCACCACCACCCACUAGACUACUGCUUCUGCUACCAAAUACUACGGCGGAACGGAACGGCUGGUUGCCGCCGCCGCCGUCGUCCUUGGAAAGGUUGAGGCGUCUCUUGGUCAUCCGUAUCGUUACCGUUGUCAUGGUCCUUUGAGUCGUUGCAACCCUGAUUGCAAGCCGGCAAGGGGGAAAAAACCAACAAAGCCGUGUGGGAAAAUGGAGGAGGCAGGCGUACAAUGUACGCUCUCCCGCCCACUGUUGCUUUAUAAUCUCUAUAUCAUCAUCAUCUUCUUCUUCUCCAUUCCGAUCGGUGAUUAAUCGAAAAGUAUAUUGUAAUGUAUAAACACCAUUUCCUGUUUCCCGGAGCUGAGCUACCCUGUUCACACCCCUGUGCAGGGUUGAGGCUUCUGCAUGUUAAUUGUUCUUUCGUCACUAAUGUUUUCUUCUGUGACAAUGACAUGGAAUGUCGACGGUUGGCUUGAGCAUUCAGCAUCGCUGAGCUGACGGGGAGAAAACUCCCAUAGGCACACCACACCCCCACAUCUCCCAUCCCAUGUCCGGUGCCAUAUGGGGAGGAAACUCCAUAUGCCGUAUAUUAAUUAUGUUAUUUAUUUGUGAUAUUAAUAUUCAUUUAACCUUUCUAAUAUGAUACCAAUGUAUACUAUAGUAGUAUAAAUACAAAUACUCUACUAUUUAAAAAAAA
rnacentral:misc_RNA from 1 species